GUGCAGCUGCAAUCCCAGCACCCCCAUCGGCCAGUACACAGUGCACCAGCAGUAAUGAGAGAGACCCCGCUUCAAAAAAGCAAGGGAACCUGUGCCAGCCACCUCCACUCUGCACACCAGACUUCCCUUCAUCAUAAAGUCAGUUAGCCCCGGAGGAUCCCAACAGUGAAAUCCAGAAGACUCGAAUUAAGAAUGAACGGGAGCUGUUUCUGGUGGCACUCGCCUGUGUCUCACUGUCUGCCUGGUUCUGGCCUCGCUGCUUGAGCACUGUGUGAGCCCAGCUAUGCAGGGCCACCUAAGCUGGGUGAGACAUCUCAGCGCAGAUUCAAGACUAUGGAACCUACAGUGUCUUUACUGUGAGUAGUUCCCUAUACUUACAGAAACUGGCUUAACUGCAGAAAACAAGGACAGAAAAAAGAGUAUCUUCCUACCACCAUUCUUCAGUAUGCAGUACUGUACUGGGUGGAAGUAUUCGAUCUUUUCAACGGCUGUUUGAGUCACAGACUUAAGGUUUAUAAAAGUUCACUAACUGAGUUUUGGCUUGGGAUGAGGACAGAAUUUCUAACAAUUUCUCUAAACAUACUCCUUGUAUUUUGCACUAAAUAUUUAUGUACACAGAUCAAUGUUCUCAGUUUUAAUUAUAAAUUCAACACAUCAGUUAGACCUGGAAAGUUAAGGGAAGAAUUGCUUCUCAGAGACUCUGUAGGACCCUCAUCCUUGGAAAAUUUAAAUGGUUACUUAACAUUUCCAGAGAACUGUGUCGUGACCACUGAUGGGAGCUGAUGGGUGUGUCCACCUCCCAGUGGACUUCCAUGUGGCCUCUGCUCCUAGACCUAUCCUGUUCAGCUCUCUACCACAGUCUUUGGACUUGGCCAGAGGGAGACAGCAGACAGGUCAACACAUAGCAGUAUGGGAGGAGGCAGGCGAGAAGAGCUCCAUCUCUAGGAUUCAGGAGUUGGAACUUGGUGAGAGUAAAAAGGAAAUAGGAGAUUUGGCAUGUGGGACCCUUAAGACGCUGGCUGCUUUCUGUGUGGGGUGAGAUGAUCUGGGAAAGGCCAUUAUGGAAGGCAGAACAGUGUGUAAGCACAAGCAGGACUUCAGGAAACCUACAGGUCAUGGAGAGGAGAGGGCGCCACGGUAGAUCUCUGUUCUAGAAGCCAUGUUGAAUAAGACAGCAGGUCAGUGGGGAGAGCUCUGGCAUUGCCAUGCUGAUGCCAUGAUCCAGAAAGAAAACAGCGAUGUAGGAACUAAGCCGUGAAAGGGAGCAGACAGCGAUGUAGGGGCUAAGCCCCAGAAGGGAGCAGACGUCCCUGCAAGCAUGGAAGGCCUAACAUGGAAGCCAUUUGUUCCAUGGCCAGAAGUGCCCAUCACAGGCAGCUAGGGAGCCAGGCUCUUACCUGAGUGACUGUCUUCCUCCAGAGAAGAAGCCAUACCACCUGUCGCCAUAAGAACUGUGCUCAGGAGAGAGGUGGCAAGAAAAACAUGUGGAGCACUCACUCACAGACAGCCUGAGCUUCCCCCUUCAGCUGGUCAGCCACUGCAGACCUCUCCUGACGAGGCUUUCUCUCUUGCUCGUCUCCAUCUCCCUCAUCAGGCAGCUGCCAAGAGGAUCAGCCAGCCUUAAUCUCAAGUAAAACUACUCUCAAACAUAAAAGAAGAAAAAAAUGUGAGUUAUGCCUGCCAGGAGUGAGCCUGGUUCCUAGUCCUGAGUGGACUGACGCUCACCUGACAGCUGGUCCAGCCUGCUCUCCAAGCCUGGGUGUCUGAUGGGAAGGCAGGCAGCUGGGCAGGGUCUUGUCCACUAGACAGUCACUGACUGCAAAGGAUGUUCUUUCCCUUUCUUUCUAUGUCCUUGAGGAGUGAGGCGGAUGCUGAGGGUGUGCGGUUGGUAGCAGGGAACCACUGCUCCUUCCUGCAUCCAAACAUUAACUCCUAAUUGAGCACACACCAGGCAACAGAUCAACAGAAACCUGUCUCAAACUGUAGAAUGUCAAAGGCUCAUUCUACUGAUGGCAAGUCAAUGCCACUGCCCUCAGAGGAACUUGUAAUGAGUGCGUGUCAGACAUUCAAUGAACUCAGACACCAAUGAACUCAUUGUUGUCACAAAGUAAGGGACAAGCACAUGGUACUCUGUGUUUUAGAGAAUCGGAUAUAGAACCAUUUAAUUCCUACAGCAACUGUUCACCCAAUCCCCCUCCUCUCCCCUCCCCCUCCCCCUCCAGGUUCAGGAGGCUGACUGAGUCACACAGAGGAUCUAUAUCAUCCCAAUGUCACCAAUUUCUUGAUGCACCCAUGGAUUCUUUGGGAUAGUGGCUGUGUAUGUCAAGCUGGCCAGCCUCUGGUGUCCGCAGACCGGUCAGAUGCCAAGCAGAUAUUGUUGCAAAGGUGUUUUUGAAGAUGAGGUUGCAUCUCCACACCAGUAUUGUAAAGCAGACCACUGUACAAAUUAUGGUAGGUCCCAUCUCCUUAGUUGAAAGCCUUAAGAUAAAAAGCUAGUACUUCCCCAAGAAAGAAUUCUGCCUCUAGACACCCUCAAGGUCAAAUCUAUGACUCUAGUUGUUACCUAAACUUCCAGCCGUCCUGUCUUGUAAACUUCAGACUUUCUAGGCCCCACAUGAGCCAAUUCUUUAAAGUCAAUCUCUCUCUGAGCCUAUCUCACCUUCUCUCUUUGUGCUACCUGGAAAGCUGUAAGUUCCAUGCCAGGUGGCUCCACAGAAGUCUUGCGGCCUUGGAGCUCAAAGAAGCUGCUGCCGGGACAAAGGCAACAGACUCCCUGUGUGCACCACAGGGCCACUUCACAAGGCUUGUUAUUGAGGGCAUCAGGUGAGGAACUGUGAAACCCAAGUGAUCAGAGCCCCUUCAGGAAAGAGCAGCUUUCUUGGCGCUGAAGAAAGCCUGGCUCACACUCACUAAUUACUGGGCUUAGCCACGCCCAUCCUCCUCCCGCUCUUCUCAUUACCUGAACAAGCAAGAGGUAAUUACAGAAGCCAAGCCUCAGCGCCUUCUAGAGAAUGCUGUCAUUCCUGUGACAGGCAAACACCCAUGGCACUGUGUCCAGAUAAGCACGGCAUACUCGCUGGCCAGUUUUUCUCACCCUUAAUGUCUCUUCCAGAUUCACAAAAUGGUUGGUUUUAGAAUUACAGAUAUGAUAAAGCA